AUCCUUCCAUAAUCAUGGAAUAAUGAUGAAAGGUAUUUCAUGCACCAUGCAUGAGAGGGGCUGACCUCCCUACUUGUUACGUGAAGCACCUCACCUAUCUGAAU